GGACGAACGCUGGCGGCGUGCCUAACACAUGCAAGUCGAACGGACGAGGGGAGCUUGCUCCCUGAGUUAGUGGCGAACGGGUGAGUAACGCGUGAGGAACCUGCCUUUCAGUGGGGGACAACAGUUGGAAACGACUGCUAAUACCGCAUAAUGUUUCGAGAGGGCAUCCUUUUGAAACCAAAGAUUUAUUGCUGAAAGAUGGUCUCGCGUCUGAUUAGCUAGUUGGUGAGGUAACGGCUCACCAAGGCGACGAUCAGUAGCCGGUCUGAGAGGAUGAACGGCCACAUUGGGACUGAGAUACGGCCCAGACUCCUACGGGAGGCAGCAGUGGGGAAUAUUGGGCAAUGGGGGAAACCCUGACCGAGCAACGCCGCGUGAGUGAAGACGGCCUUCGGGUUGUAAAGCUCUGUUGUAAAGGAAGAAAGACAUGGAUAGAAUCCAUGAGUGACGGUACUUUACCAGAAAGCCACGGCUAACUACGUG
rnacentral:rRNA from 1 species